CCUACGGGAGGCAGCAGUGAGGAAUAUUGGUCAAUGGCCGCAGGCCUGAACCAGCCAAGUCGCGUGAGGGAAGACGGUCCAAUGUAUUGUAAACCUCUUUUGUCAGGGAGCAAAGGCGGCGACUAGUCGCCGGAUGAGGGUACCUGAAGAAAAAGCAUCGGCUAACUCCGUGCCAGCAGCCGCGGUAAUACGGAGGAUGCGAGCGUUAUCCGGAUUUAUUGGGUUUAAAGGGUGCGCAGGCGGGCUGUUAAGUCAGCGGUAAAAGCCCGGGGCUCAACCCCGGCCAGCCGUUGAAACUGGCGGGCUGGAGUGGGAGAGAAGUACGCGGAAUGCGUGGUGUAGCGGUGAAAUGCAUAGAUAUCGCGCAGAACUCCGAUUGCGAAGGCAGCGUACCGGCUCCCCACUGACGCUGAGGCACGAAAGCGUGGGUAUCGAACAGGAUUAGAUACCCCGGUAGUC
rnacentral:rRNA from 1 species